GUGUCAGCAGCCGCGGUAAGACAGAGGUGCCAAGCGUUAGGCGGAAUCACUGGGCUUAAAGCGUGUGUAGGCGGAUUUGUAAGUACCUUGUGAAAUCCCACGGCUCAACCGUGGAACUGCUCGGUAUACUGCUUAUCUUGAGCCACUUAGGGGCUACCGGAACAAAUGGUGGAGCGGUGAAAUGCGUAGAUAUCAUUUGGAACGCCAAUGGUGAAAACAGGUAGCUGGGAGUGUGCUGACGCUGAGACACGAAAGCCAGGGGAGCGAACGGGAUUAGAUACCCCUGUAGUCC
rnacentral:rRNA from 1 species